UUUAUUUUUCACCGUUGGCUAUGGACGUAAACACCUAAUUAUAAUUGUUGUGGAAAGUGUUGCGAAAUUUUCAUGAUGGUGAUUGAUUUGCGCUGCGGUUGCCUCAGGGAUUGAAAAAUAUAUUUCAGGUUUCUGAUUGGCAAAGUGUCUUCGAGGUCGGCAUAAUUGAAGGUGGAAAAACUCUUCAAAUUUGAUCAAUACCUAAACCAAUACAACCUCUGGGCUGGUCAAAGUCACGGCUCGAAUACCUCACAGAUCGAAUUAGAAUUUAGCGUGUUAGGUUUUGCAGGGGGAGGAAAGGCGAAGACCCCGGACAAAAUCAAGGGAAAGAUCUAGAAAAACCUUUACUCAUGUGAUGAGCAUAUAGGCAAUUUGUACUGCGCAUGCGCGCGUUAAUAGAAAACAAAAGAAUUUCAGACGCCAUUUUGUUUGGAAUGCACAGUCUGUGGGUUUUCUGAUCAACGUUCUCAGAAUUUAGAGGCAUUCGAUGGAAGAGCUUCAAAGAGGAUCAAAACUAGAGAYGAAGGACUAGCACAUGAGCAUAUCAACAAGUACAUAGUCCUUUUAUUUGGAGAUAAAUCACUCGUCAAAAUGUGCCCGAAAGGGAAAAACCUCAAGACAUGGUUCACUUUGUUCCUGUUGUAUUUCAAAUCUAACCAGUAAAUUGARGAAAUCUUUCUUUAAGGUGUGCAAUUUUUUUGUACUGAAAAAUUGUGUGGCAUAUGGUGUUAAAGGAAAUGUUAAGACCAUCCCAGCUACCUCAGCAUAUCCUCAAAUCUUGGGUAAUUUUCCUUGUUUAGGUUUACCAAGAUCUUCAAGUUGUUGGUUGUUGAAAUAUCUAUAUAAGGUAGAGGUGUAUGAUGAAAAGGUAGUCUGCUGGUCCUGAGAAGAAGGAAGGUGGAUAGGAAUGAAUUAUUUUUCAAACUAUACAAGGAGUGAAUGUUGUUUUGAAUUGUUCCUUUCUAUAUUUUCAUUGUCAAGACUAAAUUAAAAUUAAAAUUUAAGUAAACCGACAAGCUGCACUGUUGUAUUGAUGUACUGGUCCAAUCCUAUGACAAUCACUAUAGUAAAUGAGGCUGCAAUAUACUAUCAUUUUUAGUCUAAUAUAUAGAUGUCCACAACUGACCAGGUCUGACCAAAUUURUUUUUUAAUCUUGGGAUGACAGCAUCAUUAGGAUUAAUUUAGAUGGGUAUCUCAUGACAUUUUUCAUGGAUGGUGAUACAAUUAAUUUGAUUAUAUACUAUUCUGUUAAUUAUCUGCACAGGUUGUUCAUGAUCAUGGUUAUGUUUCUUUAAUUGGGAAGGUUUGGCUUUAAAAAAUUCUUUCUUUAGAAAGGGGGUUACUUAUUAGAAAGGGGGGGUUUAUUCGAGAGGGGAUGCUUAAUAGAGGAUUUACAGCAAGUGCACAUAUACUUUAUUGGGCCUUUUCUUUCUCUUAUAUAUUAAGUCAGUCUAACCAUGAAACAUGAGUAAAAAAGGAAAUUUUACCAGUUA